rnacentral:rRNA from 1 species
AUACGUAGGGGGCGAGCGUUGUCCGGAAUGACUGGGCGUAAAGGGCGUGUAGGCGGCCGAUUAAGUCUGGAGUGAAAGUCCUGCUUUCAAGGUGGGAAUUGCUUUGGAUACUGCAGUGCUAGAGUGCGGAAGAGGUAAGUGGAAUUCCCAGUGUAGCGGUGAAAUGCGUAGAGAUUGGGAGGAACACCAGUGGCGAAGGCGACUUACUGGGCCGUAACUGACGCUGAGGCGCGAAAGCGUGGGGAGCGAACAGGAUUAGAUACCCUGGUAGUCCACGCGGUAAACGAUGAAUGCUAGGUGUUGCGGGUAUCGACCCCUGCAGUGCCGGAGUAAACACAAUAAGCAUUCCGCCUGGGGAGUACGGCCGCAAGGUUGAAACUCAAAUGAAUUGACGGGG